rnacentral:piRNA from 1 species
GCCCCAGGGUGAGAAAGUCCAAG